CUCUUGAUACCACUAAUUAGGAAAAACCAAAUGCAUAGAGAAUAAAUAGGAGUACAAUAACAACACAAGAGAUUAAUGUGGAAACUCUAAAAUUGGAGAAAAAACAACAACCGUUGUCAAAUGAUAACCAGAGAAUAACGUAAUAUGAAAAUUGUUACAGCAUAUAGACUACCUUCAACCACCCCAAGUCCCUAAUACACACGUACUCUCCAAAGAAAAUAUUUAACUACCACUCCCAACACUCUAACA
rnacentral:lncRNA from 1 species